UGCAAGUCGAGCGGACAGAUGGGAGCUUGCUCCCUGAUGUUAGCGGCGGACGGGUGAGUAACACGUGGGUAACCUGCCUGUAAGACUGGGAUAACUCCGGGAAACCGGGGCUAAUACCGGAUGCUUGAUUGAACCGCAUGGUUCAAUUAUAAAAGGUGGCUUUUAGCUACCACUUACAAAUGGACCCGCGGCGCAUUAGCUAGUUGGUGAGGUAACGGUUCCCCAAGGCAACAAUGCGUAGCCAACCUGAAAGGGUGAUCGGCCACACUGGAACUGAAACACGGCCCAAACUCCUACGGGAGGCAGCAGUAGGGAAUCUUCCGCAAUGGACAAAAGUCUGACGGACCACCGCCCCGUGAGUGAUGAAGGUUUUCGGAUCGUAAAACUCUGUUGUUAGGGAAAAACAAGUACCGUUCAAAUAGGGCGGUACCUUGACGGUACCUAACCAAAAAGCCACGGCUAACUACUUGCCACCAGCCGCGGUAAUACGUAGGUGGCAAGCGUUGUCCGAAAUUAUUGGGCGUAAAGCCCGCGCAGGCGGUUUCUUAAGUCUGAUGUGAAAGCCCCCGGUUCAACCGGGAAGGGUCAUUGAAAACUGGGAAACUUGAUUGCAAAAAAGGAAAGUGAAAUUCCACGUGUACCGGUAAAAUGCGUAAAAAUGUGAAGGAACACCAUUGGCAAAGGCAACUCUCUGGCCUGUAACUGACGCUAAGGCGCAAAACCGUGGGGAAGCGAACAGGAUUAAAUACCCUGGUAGUCCACGCCGUAAACAAUAAGUGCUAAGUGUUAAAAGGGUUUCCGCCCUUUAGUGCUGCAGCAAACGCAUUAAGCACUCCGCCUGGGGAAGUACGGUCCGCAAAAACUGAAACUCAAAGGAAUUGACGGGGGCCCGCCACAAGCGGUGGAAGCAUGUGGUUUAAUUCAAAGCAACGCGAAGAACCUUUACCAGGUCUUGACAUCCUCUGACAACCCUAAAAAAUAGGGCUUCCCCUUCCGGGGCAA
rnacentral:rRNA from 1 species